rnacentral:rRNA from 1 species
AUUGAACGCUGGCGGCAGGCCUAACACAUGCAAGUCGAACGGUAACAGGAAGAAGCUUGCUUCUUUGCUGACGAGUGGCGGACGGGUGAGUAAUGUCUGGGAAACUGCCUGAUGGAGGGGGAUAACUACUGGAAACGGUAGCUAAUACCGCAUAACGUCGCAAGACCAAAGAGGGGGACCUUCGGGCCUCUUGCCAUCGGAUGUGCCCAGAUGGGAUUAGCUAGUAGGUGGGGUAACGGCUCACCUAGGCGACGAUCCCUAGCUGGUCUGAGAGGAUGACCGGCCACACUGGAACUGAGACACGGUCCAGACUCCUACGGGAGGCAGCAGUGGGGAAUAUUGCACAAUGGGCGCAAGCCUGAUGCAGCCAUGCCGCGUGGAUGAAGAAGGCCUUCGGGUUGUAAAGUACUUUCAGCGGGGAGGAAGGGAGUAAAGUUAAUACCUUUACUCAUUGACGUUACCCGCAGAAGAAGCACCGGCUAACUCCGU